rnacentral:lncRNA from 1 species
ACAUAAUAUGUCCACGAUAAAUGCUCCAUUCGGGAGUGAACUAUUCCAAUAUAUAAUCUGUUCCACCAAGUAUUAUAGCCAACUAAAAUAUAGAGAGACUAUUCUGGUACACAUAACUAACUAAAAUAUAGAGAGACUAUUCUGGUACACCACCAUUAUCAUCAUCAUAAAACAUGUAUAACCCAGAAAAAAGUUUCGAAUGUAGCAUUGCUCCUCACAGUGCUUUCCUCCUCAACGAAUGAUUAGUAUGAGCAUUAUUGUGUCAACUCAAGCACAAUAAUGCACUUUUGUAAGAAACU